CAGGUAGGACUACCCGCUGAACUUAAGCAUAUCAAAACGGGGGAGGAA
rnacentral:rRNA from 1 species